GAUGAACGCUAGCUACAGGCUUAACACUUGCAAGUCGAGGGGCAGCAUGGUCUUAGCUUGCUAAGACUGAUGGCGACCGGCGCACGGGUGAGUAACACGUAUCCAACCUGCCGUCUACUCUUGGACAGCCUUCUGAAAGGAAGAUUAAUACAAGAUGGCAUCAUGAGUCCGCAUGUUCACAUGAUUAAAGGUAUUCCGGUAGACGAUGGGGAUGCGUUCCAUUAGAUAGUAGGCGGGGUAACGGCCCACCUAGUCUUCGAUGGAUAGGGGUUCUGAGAGGAAGGUCCCCCACAUUGGAACUGAGACACGGUCCAAACUCCUACGGGAGGCAGCAGUGAGGAAUAUUGGUCAAUGGGCGAGAGCCUGAACCAGCCAAGUAGCGUGCAGGACGACGGCCCUCUGGGUUGUAAACUGCUUUUAGUUGGGAAUAAAAAGAGGGACGUGUCCCUUAUUGUAUGUACCAUCAGGAAAAGGACCGGCUAAUUCCGUGCCAGCAGCCGCGGUAAUACGGAAGGUCCAGGCGUUAUCCGGAUUUAUUGGGUUUAAAGGGAGCGCAGGCGGCGGCGUAAGUCAGUUGUGAAAUCGUGCGGCUCAACCGUGCAAUUGCAGUUGAUACUGCGUCGCUUGAGUGCACACAGGGAUGUUGGAAUUCAUGGUGUAGCGGUGAAAUGCUUAGAUAUCAUGAAGAACUCCGAUCGCGAAGGCAUAUGUCCGGAGUGCAACUGACGCUGAGGCUCGAAAGUGUGGGUAUCAAACAGG
rnacentral:rRNA from 1 species